rnacentral:rRNA from 1 species
GACGAACGCUGGCGGCGUGCUUAACACAUGCCAGUCGAACGAAGAGCGAUGGAAGCUUGCUUCUAUCAAUCUUAGUGGCGAGCGGGUGAGUAACGCGUAAUCAACCUGCCCUUCAGAGGGGGACAACAGUUGGAAACGACUGCUAAUACCGCAUACGAUCUAAUCUCGGCAUCGAGGAUAGAUGAAAGGUGGCCUCUACAUGUAAGCUAUCACUGAAGGAGGGGAUUGCGUCUGAUUAGCUAGUUGGAGGGGUAACGGCCCACCAAGGCGAUGAUCAGUAGCCGGUCUGAGAGGAUGAACGGCCACAUUGGGACUGAGACACGGCCCAGACUCCUACGGGAGGCAGCAGUGGGGAAUCUUCCGCAAUGGACGAAAGUCUGACGGAGCAACGCCGCGUGAGUGAUGACGGCCUUCGGGUUGUAAAGCUCUGUUAAUCGGGACGAAAGGCCUUCUUGCGAAUAGUGAGAAGGAUUGACGGUACCGGAAUAGAAAGCCACGGCUAACUACGUG